rnacentral:lncRNA from 1 species
CUCAUUUUAUUUUUACAGGGAAAGUUGCAGAAGAUUUGCUUUGACCUCAAAGUACAUUCUUUGUUUCCCUGGUGAUAAAGACCUCAGUCAUAGGACAACUGGGUAAACUGAAGUAGCCAAUUCUGCAAAGGAAGGUGGACUUUGCUUUCCAGUUCAGGAUCUUUUAUUACUGGUACUAUUAAGGCAAUCUUGGCAAAGUCUCAUUCAUAUUUAUUUAUGAACUGUGUUCUUGGCUAGAUAAGAGGGUACACUGUCACAAGGCAAGGCAGCAGCACUCCUUUUAUGACAUCAGAGAGGUCUUUGCCAAUGGCUCUGUUGCAUGCUUACGUAAUGUAAAAUAGUAGGCACAUAGUUGAAUGAAGGCUCAGGCGGAGAGGAUCACUUUUCAAAGAUUGUAAAAGAAGUUACGUGGAUAGUGUGUGUUAUGCAGCAAGAAUUACUGUAUGAGAUGAAUGAGAAUUAUACUGGUGAACUUCAUCCCUUUUUAAUAGGAAAGGAAUGGAAAAUCAGAAGACGUGUUUAGAUCACACAAACCAGAGGUGAAAGCUGAAUCUGAGAGGCUUCUGUUUCCAGCAAUAAGGCCAAUAAUACCCCAAGCUCCUGACUGAAACCAAACACUCUGGAGGGACACUCUCACAUGCAGGCCAGAAGGAAUUUGAAUAGAAGGAAACAGGCUAAAGAAGAGAGCUCAUGGCAAAAAUUACAAACCAUACAAGGAAGGCAUUCACCACAGUGAGAGUGAGUAAAAACAGCAGAAUUACAACCUAAAACUUGAGAUAAUAUGACGACAGUCUGAAGCAGAAUAUAACAGAAGUAUGCUUAAACUAAGUAAGACGUGAAAGAAUUGAAACCCUAAAAAGGAAUAAGAAAAUAUGAAAAAAAAGAGAAACAUGCAGGCACAUUGGAUAAAGGAGAAUAGGAAAAACAAUAGCAGAUAAAAAGUUUUAAAUUGACAAAGAACAGAUUAAGCAGCUAAAUAAUUGAUGAACUGAAAGCUCUACCUGGGGAUAUUAGACAGCGUAUUGCACUGGGAAAUUGUGACAUGGAGAAAGGGAAAUUGAUUAAGAUUUAAGAAACAUGGAAGGUAGAAUUAGAAGGUCCCUGCACCCCUAAUAGGCAGUACAAAAGAACAGAACAGAAAAAAUGGGAGAGAUAUAGUCUUGAAAAUUCUUGUAAUAAUUUUCCAGAAGUGGCAAAAUGUAUAAAUUCAUCAAAUCAAGAACCACAUCAUUUUCAAGAAGGAUAAAUAAAAAUAAAUCUACACCUAAAUACAUCACAGUGAAGCUGUGGAGCUUAAAAUCUUAAAAGCAAACACAGAAGUUACUUAACUAAGAAAGCCACAACUAUUAGACAAAAACAAAAAACUUUUCAAUAGCAAAAAUAGAGAGGAGAAAGUAGCGAAAGAAUGUAUUUAAAGGGCUAAGGAAAAGUAACUGUCAACCUAGUUUAUACUCAGCUAAAUUGUUAUUUAAGAACCUGUUUGAAACAAUGACUAAAAACUUUUUUACUCAAAGACCCUUGCUAAAGAGAACUAGUAAAUGAUGUGCUCCAUAAAAAAGGUAAUAAAAUUCAUGAAGGAGUGGGAUAAAGGAAGCAGUGAUGAGCAACCACAUUUAUAAACAUUGGUAUCUAACUAAGCAUUGCAAUGACAAUAGACAGAUUUGAAAAUAUAAAAACAGGAUGGAAUGAAAACACUAGAAAAGAAUAGAAAGUUAAAAAAAUCAAGUUUGGAGUUAAAGCAUUUUAAAAUCCUUUUAAUUGUGAGAAAAAAGGUAAAAUAUUGAUUUAGUUUAGGCAUUGUUAUAUUGACAAUUCACGUUAAAAGUUCAAAACACUACUAAAGGAAGAGAAAUAGAAUAUAUAACUUUUAAACCACAGACAGCUGAUGGAUUAAAAAACUGUCAAUUAAAUAGAAUCCUAAGAAGAAGGAAAAAAGUAUGCUAAAUAGAAAGAAUAAGAUGGUAGAAAUCAAUCCAAAUAUAUUCAUAAUCAUAAUAAAUGUAAAUGAUCUAAACUCACGAAUUAAAAGAACAUAUUCAAACGAAUUUUUAAAAUAUCAGCUCUGCUGCUUAUAAAAAUACACUCAAAAUACAACACAGAAAAAAAGUGAGAGAAAAAUUAUUCCAAGAAAACAAUAACCAAAAGAAAGCUGGUAUAGCUACAAUUCAUCUGACAAAAUGUCUUUAAGUAAAAUUUAAAAUAUAUUUAUUAGGAAAAAAGCACACAAGAUACAAAAAUUCUAAAC